AGUUGGCUCGGCGGCAGCGGAGCGGCCGGAGCGGCCGGAGCGGCGGUGCGGCGGUGCGGACCGGGGCCGCGCGGCGUGGCGCGGGGAGCGGCGGCGGCAGCAGAGCCAGAGCAACAUGGCGCCGGUGGGCGGGGGCGGGCGCCCGGGCGGCGGGCCGGCCCGCGGGCGCCUCCUCCUGGCGGCGCCGGUGCUGCUGGUGCUGCUGUGGGCGCUGGGGGCCCGGGGCCAGGGCAGCCCCCAGCAGGGCACGAUCGUGGGCAUGAGGCUGGCGAGCUGCAACAAGUCGUGUGGGACGAACCCGGAUGGCAUCAUCUUCGUGUCCGAGGGCAGCACCGUGAACCUGAGGCUGUACGGCUACAGCCUGGGCAACAUCUCCAGCAACCUGAUCUCCUUCACCGAGGUGGACGAUGCCGAGACCCUCCACAAGUCCACCAGCUGCCUCGAGCUCACCAAGGACCUGGUCGUCCAGCAGCUGGUCAACGUGAGCCGCGGGAACACGUCCGGCGUGCUGGUGGUGCUCACCAAGUUCCUCCGGAGGAGCGAGAGCAUGAAGCUGUAUGCACUGUGCACCCGGGCCCAGCCCGACGGGCCCUGGCUGAAGUGGACGGACAAGGACUCACUGCUCUUCAUGGUGGAGGAGCCUGGGAGGUUCCUGCCUCUCUGGCUGCACAUUCUCCUAAUUACGGUGCUGCUGGUGCUGUCGGGCAUAUUUUCUGGCCUCAACCUCGGGCUUAUGGCCCUGGACCCCAUGGAGCUGCGCAUCGUGCAGAACUGUGGCACCGAGAAGGAGAGGCGCUAUGCCCGCAAGAUUGAGCCCAUCCGGCGCAAGGGCAACUACCUUCUCUGCUCGUUGCUCCUAGGGAACGUGCUGGUCAACACCUCCCUCACAAUCCUUCUAGACAACCUCAUCGGUUCCGGCCUCAUGGCGGUGGCCUCCUCCACCAUUGGCAUUGUCAUCUUUGGGGAGAUCCUACCUCAGGCCCUGUGCUCCCGACAUGGGCUGGCUGUGGGUGCCAACACCAUCCUUCUCACCAAAUUCUUUAUGCUACUCACCUUCCCCCUCAGUUUUCCCAUCAGCAAGCUCCUGGACUUUUUUCUGGGCCAGGAGAUUCGCACUGUUUACAACCGGGAGAAGCUGAUGGAGAUGUUGAAGGUGACGGAGCCCUAUAAUGACCUCGUGAAAGAGGAGCUCAAUAUGAUCCAGGGUGCCCUGGAACUGCGGACCAAAACUGUAGAGGAUAUCAUGACCCAGCUCCAGGACUGCUUCAUGAUCCGCAGCGAUGCCAUCCUGGACUUCAACACCAUGUCGGAGAUAAUGGAAAGCGGCUAUACUCGCAUCCCGGUGUUCGAAGACGAGCAGUCCAAUAUUGUAGAUAUUCUCUACGUCAAAGACUUGGCCUUUGUGGACCCCGAUGACUGCACCCCCCUCAAGACUAUCACUCGCUUCUAUAACCACCCGGUGCACUUUGUCUUCCAUGACACCAAGUUGGAUGCCAUGCUGGAGGAGUUCAAGAAGGGGAAGUCCCACCUGGCCAUCGUGCAGAAGGUAAACAACGAGGGUGAGGGUGACCCCUUCUAUGAGGUCCUGGGCCUGGUCACCCUGGAGGACGUGAUCGAGGAGAUCAUCAAGUCGGAGAUCCUGGACGAGUCUGACAUGUACACUGACAACCGAAGCCGGAAGCGGGUGUCUGAGAAGAACAAGCGUGACUUCUCUGCCUUCAAGGAUGCGGACAAUGAGCUCAAAGUGAAAAUCUCCCCGCAGCUCCUCCUGGCCGCUCAUCGCUUCCUAGCUACAGAGGUCUCUCAGUUUAGCCCCUCCCUGAUAUCAGAGAAGAUCCUGCUGCGGCUACUCAAGUACCCAGAUGUCAUUCAGGAACUCAAGUUUGAUGAGCACAAUAAGUACUACGCCCGCCAUUACCUGUACACCCGAAAUAAGCCAGCCGACUACUUCAUCCUCAUCCUGCAGGGGAAGGUGGAGGUGGAGGCAGGGAAGGAGAACAUGAAGUUUGAGACGGGCGCCUUCUCCUACUAUGGGACUAUGGCCCUGACCUCGGUCCCCUCCGAAAGUCUUUCAGGAAAGGCCAGUGCCAUAUGCUGCUUCUGGCCUUGGAUGUGUCAUGCUCCUGAUGCCUGUCCGGGGAGUCGGUGGGAAUAGGGUCAGACUCAUUCAGCUUGAGGCUUGCUGGGAUUCCCGUGUGCAACCAGGCCGCAGAGGGCACAGGACGGUGCUGGUCUCAUCAGGUGUGGCCUGUGCCCAUCAGGAGCAGCACCAGCAUCUUUCAGCUCCUCACACCCCAACUGCCCUAAAAACCCGUCACCUCAGCCUGGGGAUUUCCAUUUUACAUUUGUACAGCUGGGCCUUCUUCCAUCUGAACUGUUCCAAGACCGUUCCCCAGCACACCCCACCCCACUCAGCCGCUCAGCUUCCCUCAGUUACCCAGACCGCACAGACGUCUCAACUGCAGCAACCUUGGCAGGCAGCAGCAACCAGUUCGGCAGCUCUGUCCUGGGCCAGUACAUCUCUGACUUCAGCGUCCGGGCACUCGUGGACUUGCAGUACAUCAAGAUCACUCGGCAGCAGUACCAGAACGGGCUGCUGGCUUCUCGCAUGGAGAACAGCCCUCAGUUUCCCAUAGACGGGUGCACCACCCACAUGGAGAACUUGGCCGAGAAGUCUGAGCUGCCUGUGGUGGACGAGACCACAACUCUUCUCAACGAGCGUAACUCCUUGCUGCACAAAGCCUCCCACGAGAAUGCCAUCUGACAGGAGGGCCCGGGGCCCCCUGCCCACCCUGCGGGGGCCUCCCCAGUGGGCCCACAUGAAGAGAGGGAACCUGUUAGUCCAGAAAGGAUACGGAUAGAUAGCCUGUCUGACUGAACAGCCAGAUGGCCCCCAGCCUAUGGGGGAUCUGGCCUCUGCCAAGGACCUCUGAGUAGCUCUGAGGUGGCACUGUCCAGCCCUGGAUAGGGGGGGCAGUGGGCCAGCUACCGUAAGCAAAGGCUGUUUUUUACUGAGAGAAUUUCUAAAGUAGGCUCAUCACUUUUUUUUAAAUAUCAUUUUGGGAAGGGAAGACAGGGUUAAGGAACUUUAUUUAAAAAAAAAAUAUUUUUUUCCUAAAAACUAUAAAAGAGGAAGGGUUUCUUGUCCCGGGAAGCAAUGGACAUAAUCUGCUCCCAGCCAUGGCCUUCCAGCUUGUGUCCCUGAUUCAGGGAGCUCUCCCUUCCUCCUCCUCCUCCUCCUCCGGAGGUGGGAUCCCAGAGCCUGCCAGUGGAGGCUUAUCUGUUGGGAGGAAGACAGCUCUUCAGAGAAGCAAAGAACAAAAUGGCAUGGAGAUCAGCUGCCUGAGCACCUGCGCUGUAGCUUAUCUGACAAUGCUGAGGCCAAGAGCUCCUGGGUAGCUGUGAUCAGGGACAUGAUAAUCUGAGCUAUGCAGAGGAGCACAUCUGUUGUCAACUGCUGUACCCAGAAAUCUAGAACUCUGCCGACAGCCUCUCCUGGUGAGUCGGGACUCAGCUGAGGACACAUCCCCACCCUGCCUCCCAUCUGGCCCUUUGGACAACUGGCCCUUUUUGACAGGGCUGACUCAAGUGUUAGGCAGGGUCUCAGGCCUUUGAUUGCUCACCCCUGCUCCCCAGGCCUUGCCCUCACUUUUACCAAAGGUUCUCCCUCGGCGGGAGGGCAUCUGUGUUGGAGGUGAUUUGUCUGGGUUCUUCCUUUUGGUUCCAGAAGGAACUGUCAGUCAUCAGCAUCUGCGUUGUUAGCAGUCAGUACCACCCCCGCCCCACAAUGAGUCAAGGCUGACUUGUUGACUGAAGCCUUUUUCCCAGACCCCUUAUUUCGAAUCCCCAAGCUUCAGUCCCUCUUGGGGGUGGAGACAAGAGGACAUGUGGGAAGCCACGGAAGCAGGUUCUUUAUGUCCUUUCCCCUGUGGCUGGCAAGGCUCACCUGGCCUUAUCCACCCACUUAUGGAACCUCAGAAGAGGAGGGCUCCUCCUAAAGGCAUGCAGCUUGCAGCCCCUCUUUCUCACACAUGUGAUCCUAGCGUGAGAGGUCAUCCUGCCCUUGCUGAAGUUAGUAGUACUGUACUAAGAGCUCUGCCCUCAUGUGAAUUCCUGCCCUGGCGCCUCUUCCCUGGGGCUGAAUGAGGCCCUGCUGCAAAACUCCAGGCUUCCCAGGGUUGGGGAGGCUGUGGGACCAAGGUCCAUGUUGGUCCUUCCACUGGGUGCAGCAGGAGCUGGGUCCCGAGAGCCUGGCAGGUGAAACUCUGCAGGCCUUCCGCCUGAGUAUUAUUUAUUCACUCCUUUCCUCACCCCAAGUGCCCUGCUCUCCAGGUGCCUAGAGUAUCCUAACUCUUAGGACCAGGGAUUGUCUUGCCCCAAGUAUGCCUACCCCUGGCCAGUCUGAGGUCUCCUAGCCAUAGAACUGACUCCUAGAAGCCUGGAGAGAAGGUGGUGACACCCAUGGGUUCUCAACUGUAAGGAAAAAAGACACCAGACUUUUGUUCCCUAUUGGGGGAAAGCCCUUAGUCUUGUACAGGAGCAGCUUGCUCCCAAGUCCUUUUGGAAGCUGGCAGAGCUAUAUUCCUGACAGCCCUGACUGCCAGGUAGAGCAAAAGACAUUGGUGGGGGUAUGUGAAGCAAAAGGGGCAGGUGCACACACCUCCACAGUGACCUCUGUGCACACGGUUACCACCAACUGGCUGGCCCUCCUACUCUUCCCUGGCCCAUUGAUCAUCCCUUCUCACAGAGGGUCAUCAUUAUUUCCAAAUAUUGUUUGUCUGAUGACUUCCUCUUCCCAGUGCAAUUUUUCCCUUCCUAUUUCAACCUCUGGUUCCUGGGAUGAGCCAUACCCUGGAACUGGCCCACCCACUGUGUCUUCCAUGUAAGGGAGACCUUUGCAAAGGGCAUCCAAAUGGGUAGGCAGAUGACAGCCGCCGUAUUUAUUUUGCAUAAUAUUUUAAUUUGUAUAUUUUUGUGAUUUAUUUUGGCGUUAUGAGUUUGACUCUCGGGGAGUUUUGUUGUUAUGACUCUUGUGUCUUUUGUCACAAAACAAUGAUAUUUGCUAAACGAUAUAUGGAAUUUAUUUUUGAUUGGUAAUAAAAAAUCAAAUAUGUAUAAA